AUGAGGAGUGCUCAUAAAAAAUUAAAAAAAUGGAUCCAAAUAUCUUUGAUUCACGUGAUUCAAAUGGUUCAAUUUAAAUUGGGUAAACAGAUAAAAGUAAAGAUGUCUUUAAAAUUAAGCUUAUAAGUUUUUCUAGGUGUUCAAAAAGACCCUAAUAAAAUGUUGAUAUCUAUAAAAUAAUCUGCUUAAAUUCAGAAAUUUACAGAUAUUGUUUCAAAAUGUGAACAGAAGGAGGUUAACAGAUGGAAAAGAGAAACUAAAAGGUUCUAGAUAUGGAUUUAAUAGAGGGAAAAUGUGUUUCUGGAUAAGAGAGUCUAUGUGAUUAAGUAAUUAAGAGGGUUUAAGUAAGUGAUAAAAAAGGUUUGUGUAAGCUGG
rnacentral:lncRNA from 1 species